rnacentral:rRNA from 1 species
AGUGAACGCUGGCGGUAGGCCUAACACAUGCAAGUCGAACGGCAGCACAGUAAUAGCUUGCUCUUCCGGGUGGCGAGUGGCGGACGGGUGAGGAAUACAUCGGAAUCUACUCUUUCGGGGGGGUUCACGUAGCGAAACUUACGCUAAUAUCGCAUAUGAUCUACGGUUGAAAGCAUUGGAUCUUCUGACCUUGCGCGGAUGAAUUAGCCGAUGUCGGACUAGAUAGUUGGGGGGGUGAUUGCCCACCAAGGCGCGGAUCCGUAGCUGGACUGAGAGAAUGAUCGGCGGCCCUGGAACGGGAACACGGUCCAGACUCCUACGGGAGGCAGCAGUGGGGAAUAUUGGACAAUGGGCGCAAGCCUGAUCCAGCCAUACCGCGUGGGUUAAGAAGGCCUUCGGGUUGUAAAGCCCUUUUGUUGGGAAAGAAAAGCAGCAGGUUAAUACCACGCUGUUCUGACGGUACCCAAAGAAUAAGCACCGGCUAACUACGUG